rnacentral:lncRNA from 1 species
CUGUGUAUAUAGAUUCUUAAUUUUUGGUCCCGUUUUCAAAUUGGUCUACAUUAAGGUCCAAAGGGUCCAAAAUUAAACUUAGUUUGAUUUUAACAAAAAUUGAAUCCUUGGGGUUUUUUGAUAUGCUGAAUCUAAAAAUGUACUUAGAUUUUUGAUUAUUGGCCCAGUUUUCAAGUUGGUCCAAAUCGGGGUCCAAAAUUAAACUUUGUUUGAUUUCAUCAAAAAUUGAAUACUUUGG